AAGCCUCCACUUCGUUCAGCCAAGUUCUCAAGGUAAACCUUGCUUUAAUGUCUCACCUUCUUCGAAUGAUCACCUGCAAUUACUGAAACAACAACACAAAAUUUCAGUUCCAGUUCAUUCGACACGCCGUAUCCGAAAAGCAAGUUAAAACAUUCAUUCAAUUCUCUGCCAAACUUUAAGGUAAGAGUAGCCUUGAUUCAUCAUCUCCUUCCAAUUACAACUUACAGUUAUUGAAAGAAACAAGUUUGAUCUUUCAGUUCAGUCAUUCCAGUUCUUUUAACUCAACAUCACAGCAGCCAACCAAGCCCAAAACAUUCGCAAGGUCAAGCGCGAGAGUAAGAACUAUUCAAGAAGUCACAGUACUUAGCAAAACUUUGCUAUCAGGUUGAGAUGUGAUGGGCGAUGAAGUGUUGCUGAGUGGAGUUUUUGUUGAACUUAAAGUAGGCUCAGAAAGGAUACAUGUCUUCAUACAUGUAUCUCAGUUAUGCAUUCCGCUGUAAACACUGAUUAUUUCAGUUACACCUUCCGUUGCAAA